rnacentral:rRNA from 1 species
GACGAACGCUGGCGGCGUGCCUAACACAUGCAAGUCGAACGGAACUGUUUUGAAAGAUUUCUUCGGAAUGAAUUUGAUUUAGUUUAGUGGCGGACGGGUGAGUAACGCGUGAGUAACCUGCCUUCAAGAGGGGAAUAACAUUCUGAAAAGAAUGCUAAUACCGCAUGACAUAUCGGAACCACAUGGUUUUGAUAUCAAAGAUUUUAUCGCUUGAAGAUGGACUCGCGUCCGAUUAGUUAGUUGGUGAGGUACGGCUCACCAAGACCGCGAUCGGUAGCCGGACUGAGAGGUUGAACGGCCACAUUGGGACUGAGACACGGCCCAGACUCCUACGGGAGACAGCAGUGGGGGAUAUUGCGCAAUGGGGGCAACCCUGACGCAGCAACGCCGCGUGAAGGAUGAAGGUUUUCGGAUUGUAAACUUCUUUUAUUAAGGACGAAAAAUGACGGUACUUAAUGAAUAAGCUCCGGCUAACUACGUG